rnacentral:rRNA from 1 species
GACGAACGCUGGCGGCGCGCCUAACACAUGCAAGUCGAACGGAGCUUAGAGAGCUUGCUUUUUAAGCUUAGUGGCGAACGGGUGAGUAACGCGUGAGUAACCUGCCCUAGAGUGGGGGACAACAGUUGGAAACGACUGCUAAUACCGCAUAAGCCCACGGUGCCGCAUGACACUGAGGGAAAAGGAUUUAUUCGCUUUAGGAUGGACUCGCGUCCAAUUAGCUAGUUGGUGAGGUAACGGCCCACCAAGGCGACGAUUGGUAGCCGGACUGAGAGGUUGAACGGCCACAUUGGGACUGAGACACGGCCCAGACUCCUACGGGAGGCAGCAGUGGGGGAUAUUGCACAAUGGGGGAAACCCUGAUGCAGCGACGCCGCGUGGAGGAAGAAGGUUUUCGGAUUGUAAACUCCUGUCGUUAGGGACGAUAAUGACG